CAGUCUAUCCAUGAUGAUUGACUCUGUUUUCCCCCUUUCUCAUGAAAAUUGAAAGUGGGGUUUGCAGACUGAGGAGGGAAAGAGAGCAGAUGAAGGUGGUGGGUGGGGGCUGAAUGCUCCUUUUUGCUUUUAGAUUUGAUGUAAUUUUAGUCUUAAUUAUUGUCAAUUGAUUGAUUGAUUAAUGGAUUAAUUUAUUGUUUGCUUGUUGGUUUAGGUGGACAAUGACAAUGAAAGGAUGCAGUCUUUAUUGGGUUUGCUUGAAUAAGCAAUAGGACUUGUCUAGAGACGAGGACAACGGAGGAAGAUGAAGACCUGCCACUUGCAAUUCUCAAUUUCAUAGUUUCAUAUUGGUCUGGUGGGGACAGUUUCAUGAAAUUUCCAGGUGAGAUCAUUUUGAUUGAGCAUAUUCUUUGGUUCGACCAUUAGGUAAUAUAAUUAUAUUUAAAUGGGUCGCUUAAACGUAGUUGUUUUUUAAACUGAAUAAAUUUCAUUUUAGUGAAAUUUGACUACAAACCCCAAAUAACCCAGACAAUAUUAUAAGCAAACCCAACUUAAGUCCCUUUAAACCGUGUCCUAGGAGAAAACGGGUGGACUCCUUCUCAUUAGGAAGAACUUCACUGCUGAUACCAAUGGAGAAUGCAAAGAAAGCAAUGCAAUGGAGAGUCUCAAAACUUCCCUGCCCAACUCCAUCAACACUAAGGAAAAGGGAAAAUUGGAGCAAGUCACCAAGAAGAGCAGAGGACCGGACCAAUGCUGGAUCAAUAGGGAAAUCAGGCAUAGGUCUCAAAUGAGUAAUAGAAUUGCAUCAAAUUUUUGGAGCUUUGUUGUGGAAGGAUGGCUGGUAGUGAAGUGUAUUUAGGCAUUGGAUAGUUAAUCGAUUUAACUUAUAUGUUUCAUUAAAAAAAAAUUCGUUCCUAAAAAAAUUAAUUGAAUUUUUACAUAAUUAUGCAUGGUUUUUAUGUUCUUUGAAUAAUUUUUUUAAUUAAAAAGAGUU
rnacentral:lncRNA from 1 species